rnacentral:rRNA from 1 species
AACCUCCCGGGCCACCCGGCCUGCGGCGGAAUGUUGCGUUAAGGGAAAGGUCGUAGUUAAACCCUACAGCCACGCGAUCCUAAGUUUGCCACGAAUUGGCAAUCCCAAACCAAAAUGCGGGAUAAACUCCAUGGAGGGUGUCAGACCCGUGUGGACGCGUGUCAAUGCUGUGUGGGCUCGGCCUUUCCCUGAGAGUCGCGUUGCUUGAGCAUGCAGCGCUAAGCAGGUCGUAAACUCGAUCUAAGGCUAAAUAUUUCCACAGGACCGAUAGCAAACAAGUACCGUGAGGGAAAGUUGAAAAGCACUCUGAAGAGAGAGUCAAAAGACCGUGAAACCGCUCAGGGUAUAAGCCCAUGGUGAUUUGGAAGGCGGAACACAUGAUAAGGAGUGCUACUUGGCUUAGUACUGUCCGUCUCGUGCACGCACUUGGGAGGUUAAGUUGUGCAGUACAUCGUAAUGCCGCUGCCGAUCGGGAGUUGGGUUGGGAGUUGCUGGCGGCGCGUGUCAAAGCGUGUCGUCUUCGGCUCUCGCUCUUCUCUUGCGAUCGACCGACCAGGAGGUGCAGAUGCGAGACUGUGUUAUAUGCCCACCACAACACGUUGCGAGGUCACCCACAGGCUCGACUGCCGAUUGCGCAUCCAUUCUCGGGCAGGCUGCGGCAGAGUCGUUACCAGGCAAGGUUCGGCGAUGCAGCUCUGCUCGGAGUGGGUCGGGCGGCGACUGAGUUCUGGUAUGAUCCUCCUGCGACGAGUUGCUUUCUGACCAGAACAGCGCGCCAUGGAUUCACAUCUCGUGUUUCUGUGUGUACAAAGGGAAGGCUGCCUUGUCCCCUUAAGGCGGUUUGUGCCCUCUGCAUGAGCUUAAUCAGCAAGGCCUCCGUCGCGCUGCUGUACCUGUGUGGUGUAAAGUCCAAAGCCAUCGGUCACGUCUCGAAACACGGGCCAAGGAGUAUAGCAUGUGUGCAAGUCUAAGGGUUCCACAAAACCUGCAGGCGAAGUGAAAGCAACUUUGUGGCGGUGAUGUCUAUAUGGCUGACCCGUUAGUGUGAGUCUCAGGACUCGUGCUUAAGCAGAGCUGAUCCGGUCCGAAAGGCUGAUUGCUAAAUGGCUGGCGCAAGCUCCGGGCUCACGUAUAUCGCUGGUCUUCGGGCUGCGAUGUGAGCACCGUGGAGCACUCAUGCUAUGACCCGAAAGAUAGUGAACUAUGCCUUGCGAGGGCGAAGCCCCAGGAAACUGGGGUGGAGGCCCGUAGCCGUUGUGACG